AACGAACGCUGGCGGCGUGCCUAACACAUGCAAGUCGAACGUGAUUAGAGAGCUUGCUCUCUAUGAAAGUGGCGCACGGGUGAGUAACGCGUAGAUAAUCUACCUGAUGAUUUGGGAUAACACUUCGAAAGGGGUGCUAAUACCGAAUAAGCCCACGGAGUCUUUGGACACUGCGGGAAAAGGAGGGGACCUUCGGGCCUUCCGUCAUCAGAUGAGUCUGCGUACCAUUAGCUAGUUGGUAGGGUAAAGGCCUACCAAGGCGACGAUGGUUAGCUGGUCUGAGAGGAUGAUCAGCCACACUGGAACUGAGACACGGUCCAGACUCCUACGGGAGGCAGCAGUGGGGAAUUUUGCGCAAUGGGGGAAACCCUGACGCAGCAACGCCGCGUGAGUGAUGAAGGCCCUUGGGUCGUAAAGCUCUGACAGAGGGAAAGAAAUGUGGGUGGCUAAUAUCCAUUCCACUUGACGGUACCCUCAAAGGAAGCACCGGCUAACUCCGUGCCAGCAGCCGCCGUAAAAC
rnacentral:rRNA from 1 species